GUCAACGGCCAUACCACGUUGAAAGCACCGGUUCUCGCCUGAUCACCGAAGUUAAGCAGCGGCGGGCGUAGUCAGUGCCGAGAUGGGAGACCGCUUGGGAACACUGCGUGAUGUUGACA
rnacentral:rRNA from 1 species